GCUCCUAUGGCUCAGUGGUAGAGCGUGUGCCUAGUAUCAAUCAACAACAAGAUCGGUACGGUCAAGCACAAGGUCCACGGUUCGAUCCCGUGUGGGAGCA